CAAAGGAAUCACAGAAGCCCACGUGCUACCUCACACGGGUGAUUCAGGGUGAGGCUCCCACGGGUGCCGGUGGACACGGACCCUCACACGGGUGAUUCAGGGUGAGGCUCCCGCAGGUGCUGGUGGACACAGAGCCUCACAUGGGUGAUUUAGGGUGGGGGCUCCCACAGGUGUCGGUGGACACGGACUCUUACACAGGUGAUUUAGGGUGGGGGCUCCCACGGGUGCUGGUGGACACGGAUCCUCACACGGGUGAAUCAGGGUGGGGCUCCCGCAGGUGCUGGUGGAC